CCUACGGGGUGCAGCAGUAGGGAAUCUUCCACAAUGGGCGAAAGCCUGAUGGAGCAACGCCGCGUGGGUGAAGAAGGUCUUCGGAUCGUAAAACCCUGUUGUUAGAGAAGAAAGUGCGUGAGAGUAACUGUUCACGUUUCGACGGUAUCUAACCAGAAAGCCACGGCUAACUACGUGCCAGCAGCCGCGGUAAUACGUAGGUGGCAAGCGUUAUCCGGAUUUAUUGGGCGUAAAGGGAACGCAGGCGGUCUUUUAAGUCUGAUGUGAAAGCCUUCGGCUUAACCGGAGUAGUGCAUUGGAAACUGGGAGACUUGAGUGCAGAAGAGGAGAGUGGAACGCCAUGUGUAGCGGUGAAAUGCGUAGAUAUAUGGAAGAACACCAGUGGCGAAAGCGGCUUUCUGGUCUGUAACUGACGCUGAGGUUCGAAAGCGUGGGUAGCAAACAGGAUUAGAUACCCUAGUAGUC
rnacentral:rRNA from 1 species